rnacentral:rRNA from 1 species
UAGGGAAUCUUCCGCAAUGGGCGAAAGCCUGACGGAGCAACGCCGCGUGAGUGAUGAAGGUCUUCGGAUCGUAAAACUCUGUUAUUAGGGAAGAACAAAUGUGUAAGUAACUAUGCACGUCUUGACGGUACCUAAUCAGAAAGCCACGGCUAACUACGUGCCAGCAGCCGCGGUAAUACGUAGGUGGCAAGCGUUAUCCGGAAUUAUUGGGCGUAAAGCGCGCGUAGGCGGUUUUUUAAGUCUGAUGUGAAAGCCCACGGCUCAACCGUGGAGGGUCAUUGGAAACUGGAAUACUUGAGUGCAGAAGAGUAAAGUGGGAUUCCAUGUGUGGCGGUGAAAUGCGCAGAGAUAUGGAGGAACACCAGUGGCGAAGGCGACUUUCUGGUCUGUAACUGACGCUGAUGUGCGAAAGCGUGGGGAUCAAACAGG